rnacentral:lncRNA from 1 species
UUGAUCCAUAUUUUUCCCUCGUCGCCAAACUGUUGUGAUUUUGAUCGAUAAGAAAUAAGGUGACUAGAGUCGAUUUAAAGAAAAAAAAAGUCUUAUUAAGCAACAUCAUCUUUAUUCACAAAACAUAACUGGUACUGCUACAAUGGAACACUCUACAAUGACAAAGGAAAAGGUCACACACACACCAGCAAGACAAAGAGCAAUAAAAAAUAUAUCGCACCACCCUAAUUCGUUCCGUCCUACACUCAGGCACCCCGUCCCUCUGGCAGUUGAAAACCACAACAUAAAGGUUCUUCUUUUCAAUUAUUAUGCAACAGUCAUUGUUAUAAAAAAUUUUCAUAAAUAUGAUAUCAAGAAAAACAUUAGGCCUAGACCAUAAGGCAAUCAGUAGGUCUUUAUUUACAUAAAAACAGUUUAUCCAUAAAAAUAAAUGGUAUAUUGAGUACCGGUGUAUCAUAAUGAGUCCAUACAUACCUGUUUCAGUGAAGAAAGUCUGAAAAAAGACCAAAAAAAAUCCAAAUUUUUGGUGGCACUGCAAACAAGCAAUCCUUCUUUAUGCAUGGAAAGCAACGUUGGUAUAAAUAAUUACCACUUAAACACACAUCAUCAUUAGCGGCCACAUUUCAAACCACAGCUGAGUUCUCUGGGCAAGGGCGCCCCAUAGUGCCUAAUAAUGCAACUACCAAGUGGUUAGCAUACAGACCAAUGGCAAGUAUUUUUCCGACGAAGUGUAUUACAGUCUUAUCUAAUUCUUGAAUUUCAUUCUAAUGUAUUGCAAAAAAGUCUGCUCAUUUUGCUCUUUAGAUGGAUUUGCUUCAGUUCUGGUGCA